UAAUAAGUAUUUUAUGGCACAUUUUUAAUCCAUAUCCACCUUGUGUGCAAUGUCGGUCGAUCCUCUUCAUGGAGUUCGACCAAGCAUCAACCUAAUCUUUUAACUCUUCGUCUGAAAAAUAUUAUGAAUAAACGAUUCAAAAUA
rnacentral:misc_RNA from 1 species